AGGAAAGAAACCAACAGGGAUUGCCCCAGUAACGGCGAGUGAAGCGGCAACAGCUCAAAUUUGAAAUCUGGUCCUCACGGGCCCGAGUUGUAAUUUGUAGAGGAUGCUUUUGGUGAGGCACCGCCCGAGUUCCCUGGAACGGGACGCCGCAGAGGGUGAGAGCCCCGUCUGGCUGGCUGCCGAGCCUUUGUAAAGCUCCUUCGACGAGUCGAGUAGUUUGGGAAUGCUGCUCAAAAUGGGAGGUAUAUGUCUUCUAAAGCUAAAUACCGGCCAGAGACCGAUAGCGCACAAGUAGAGUGAUCGAAAGAUGAAAAGCACUUUGAAAAGAGGGUUAAAUAGUACGUGAAAUUGUUGAAAGGGAAGCGCUCAUGACCAGACUUGGGCUUGGCGAAUCAUCCAGCGUUCUCGCUGGUGCACUUCGCCUCGUCCAGGCCAGCAUCAGUUCGCUUCGGGGGAUAAAGGCUUUGGGAACGUGGCUCCUCCGGGAGUGUUAUAGCCCAUUGUGUAAUACCCUGAGGUGGACUGAGGUUCGCGCAUCUGCAAGGAUGCUGGCGUAAUGGUCAUCAGCGACCCGUCUUGAAACACGGACCAAGGAGUCGUCUUCGUAUGCGAGUGUUCGGGUGUAAAACCCCUACGCGUAAUGAAAGUGAACGCAGGUGAGAGCUUCGGCGCAUCAUCGACCGAUCCUGAUGUUCUCGGAUGGAUUUGAGUAAGAGCAUACGGGGCCGGACCCGAAAGAAGGUGAACUAUGCCUGUAUAGGGUGAAGCCAGAGGAAACUCUGGUGGAGGCUCGCAGCGGUUCUGACGUGCAAAUCGAUCGUCAAAUAUGGGCAUGGGGGCGAAAGACUAAUCGAACCUUCUAGUAGCUGGUUCCGCGA
rnacentral:rRNA from 1 species